CUAGGCCCCUCCCCUGUCCCUCAGCUCCUCAACCAUCACCUGGCAGCAGCUGUUUGGACACUGAAACUUUGACCUCUCCCAGGUGGGCACAGAACUCCCAGGCUCAGGACUCACCGUGGACUCCAGGGCUCCGCAGGCAUUCAGGGGAAAGGGGUGGGGAUGCAGGAAGGAGGCUCAGCCCAGAGGGCGGGGCCAAGAUCCUGAUUGGAGGAAAUCAAGGUGAGCGCGCUGCUACAAACUGGGCCCCUAUUUCUAGUUGGUGGCCAAACAUUUUGCCUGGGGCUGGGCCUGGGGCUGGGCCCGGGGCUGGGCCCGGGGCUGGGCCUGGGGCUUUGCCCGGGGCUGGGUCUAGGGCUGGGUCCAGGGCUGGGCCGCGGACUGGGCCUCGGACUGGGCCUCGGACUGGGCCUCGGACUUGGCCUCGGAUUGGGCCGAGGAUUGGGCAGAGGCACGGGCCUACUGAUGGGCCUCCUGCUCGUGCCAGGUCGCCGCCGAGGUCUGCUUUGGCGGUUUCCACAUUCACGCAUCAGCCCGUUCACUGCGUCCGGGAGAAAACAGCUGGCGAGGCUCGGUUCCCCCCCACUCUCCGCCGGGAAGAGCAUGGCUUCGGGCGGCCCUGCGCAGAGAACGCAGAUGUGGACCCUCGGAAAGGAAAAUCAAAGCCAGUGAGUGAGGCCACAUGUCUACCCCCAGAAGAAUAGCCAAUGUCCAGGUGUGCCUGAAAAGAGUCUCAGUGACAGCAGCCCUCAGGUGAUGCAGAGCGCCAUGUUCUCAGCAAAGACCCACAUGCUUAUGCUGUCACAGGCUUGGAGGGAUGGCAGCAGGUGCAGGGGUGUGGUGACAACAUCUUGUGAAUCUGCACAGAAACCGCACUGUGUCCUGACAGCUCACACCCACGCUCAGUCAGAAGCCAAGGCUUGGGCACCCAGCACAGCCCUGUGCUCUCCACAGACCCAGGGGCCACUGCUCACGGGGACCACUUGGGAAUGAAGUGCAGCUUCCACACAGUGCACAGACAGGAAACAAACAUGUCAGUGCUUUCUGCAUGAGGAUGGGUGGUGCUAGCUCUGAGAUGUGAAGCGCUCACAACCCAGCAGGGGUCAGCCCAGGGGGGCUCUCGGAGCUUGAGCAUUCUGAGAGAUGAAGACCACAGCCUUGGGCAGGGCUGCAGCUCAGAGCUGGAGAGCUUGCCUAGCCUGUGCAAGGCCUUGAGUUCCAUCUGCAGCACUGCUGAAAAGACGCCUUGAUGUCACUUCCACGUCUUGGAUAAAUGGGGUCAAAGGCCCUGUGUCCAGUUCAAAGCACCAAAAACCAAAAUCAAGACCAAAAAAUGCUCUAAUAGUACAAACAUCAUACUGAAAUUCUUUCAUUUGGCCAGGAUGGUGACAGACAACUCUAAUACCAGCCCUUGGCAGGCAGAGGCAGGAGGAUCACUGCAAGUACAAGGGCAGCUUGUGCUCCAGAGCGAGGUCACAGCGACCUGAACCACACAGAAGGCACAGCCUCAAAAACAGUAAGAAUGCUGGACUUUCAUGCACGCCUACCUGUCUUUCCCACACAGUUUUUUAUUUGUGCUGCUCCUGGGGAUUGAACCCAGACCUCACACAUGCGAGGCAAGUGCUCUCCCACUGAACUACAUCUGCAGCCCUUGUUCAGAAUUUUAUUUGGAGACAUUAUCUCAUCAAGUGGCCCAGGCUGUCCUGGAACCUGCAGGUCUCUAUCCUUAGCCAGAGCCCUCUUUCCCUGCCAAGACAGCCCACAGCAUCCCUAGUCAUGAACCCUUCUUUGUUUUUAUCUUCCUAUAUCGUUCACUCUGGCCUUGAACAUA
rnacentral:lncRNA from 1 species